rnacentral:rRNA from 1 species
UNUGACUUGAGUGCAGAAGGGGAGAGUGGAAUUCCAUGUGUAGCGGUGAAAUGCGUAGAUAUAUGGAGGANCACCAGUGGCGAAAGCGGCUCUCUGNUCUGUCACUGACGCUGAGGCUCGAAAGCGUGGGUAGCGAACAGGAUUAGAUACCCUGGUAGUNCACGCCGUAAACGAUGAGUGCUAGGUGUUAGGCCCNUUCCGGGGCUUAGUGCCGGAGCUAACGCAAUAAGCACUCCGCCUGGGGAGUACGACCGCAAGGUUGAAACUCAAAGGAAUUGACGGGGGCCCGCACAAGCGGUGGAGCAUGUGGUUUAAUUCGAAGCAACGCGAAGAACCUUACCAGGUCUUGACAUCCCGAUGCUAUUCUUAGAGAUAGGAAGUUACUUCGGUACAUCGGAGACAGGUGGUGCAUGGUUGUCGUCAGCUCGUGUCGUGAGAUGUUGGGUUAAGUCCCGCAACGAGCGCAACCCUUAUUGUUAGUUGCCAUCAUUAAGUUGGGCACUCUAGCGAGACUGCCGGUAAUAAACCGGAGGAAGGUGGGGAUGACGUCAAAUCAUCAUGCCCCUUAUGACCUGGGCUACACACGUGCUACAAUGGUCGGUACAACGAGUUGCGAGCCGGUGACGGCAAGCUAAUCUCUGAAAGCCGAUCUCAGUUCGGAUUGGAGGCUGCAACUCGCCUCCAUGAAGUCGGAAUCGCUAGUAAUCGCGGAUCAGCACGCCGCGGUGAAUACGUUCCCGGGCCUUGUACACACC